rnacentral:lncRNA from 1 species
GCUGGGGAUUCUCAUGAACCCUAAGGGGCCCUGGAUCCCGCGAUCACCGCCCUGCUAGGGUCCUAGGACGCCGCCCACAGUGACAUCCACACAUUGAGUGGGGAAGGACAGAGGGGUCGGUCGCAGAAACUGGGUCCCUUGGUCACACUGCGAGCCCCAGUAGGAUGUGAUCUGCAGUCUGCUGAGAGCAGGGAGUGAGCUCAGUUUUGCUCUAGAUAAUUGUGCCCUAGGGACUGGGGACACUGGCCAGCGCUCUCUGGCGGCGUCCUGGGCACUGCAGGACGGCCUCUGCCCGCUCCAUGCCAGGCGCUCCUCGGGUGUGACAGCCACAUGUGUCUCCAGACAUGGCCCAGAGUCCACUGGGGACAGAUGGCCCCCGGGAUCGCACCCCCUCUCUGCAGGUAAGAAAAAGACAAGGUUUUUGUCUUUUUCCCUUCUCUGCUAGGGCGUCCUAAGAGUCUGCCUCAGGAAAGGUCGGACCUGGCCAUGGGGGACCUGUGGCCCUGGAUGGCCCUGGUUGAGCCGCCUUCAGAUUCCUGCGCAUCGCCUCCAGCAAGCGACCAGUUUCAUUCUUACACUGUGGCUCAGGUUGAUGAUUGCAGAGUGCAACCUGGAGGUCCAGAGCUGAGCUGACUGGGGAAGGCUACAGGGCACAAGGCCAGGUGUGAUCGGCCCCUGGAGGAGUCAGGAGUGCAGGCAGCUGAUAGGAGAGACCACACCCACGCGCAAUGCUUACACAUGUUUGAGAAGUUGGCUUCAGAGGC